AAUUUAAGAUUCAUAUAUAAAUAUAAUUAUUUUUCUAGAA
rnacentral:tRNA from 2 species